rnacentral:rRNA from 1 species
GUCUAUGGCCAUACCACUCUGAACAUACCAAUCUUGUCUGAUUUUGGAAGCUAAGCAGGGUUGGGACAGAUUAGUAUUUGGAUGGGAGACCACAUAGGAAUACAGGGUACUAUAGGCU